AGCGUUGCUUCUUAUCCUUUUGCCAGUUUGUUCUGCAGCUCUUGCUAUCUGUAUGUGCUAGUUGUCCUGCCUCUACUACCCUCUGUGUUUCUCUACUGCUCAGAGAGAUUCUCCAGCUCUGGAGUGCUGUAGAUACUCCUCCAGCUCCCAGCCCAGACCACUCACCUGCUUCUGGAUCUCCUUCCCAGGCUCUGAGGAUGCUGUCUCCAACUCCAUGCCAGCCACCACCUGUCUAACUCUCUGCCCAAACUGAGCGACUCCUACUCACUUCCUGCUGCUCCUCCUGCUCUCCGCCUGUCACCACCGGUCCAGCUCUCUACUGAUCCUCUGCCUGUUGCUAUUCGACCCCCAGCCCUGGGCAAACAUGAGGUUCCUUGGAUUCCUGCGAUGGCCUAACCAGUUACCUGUGGUUGUCUACCAGACGCCGGUGUGCCAGACCAGAGCCUAGGGACUAAUUACCUGGGUGUUGUGAGUUCCCUUGCACUGAUUGCCCUCUUUACCAAUGGCGGCCAGCAACUUCUUGCCUUCUUGAUAUAUUUGAAAAUGUUUUGUACAAUAAAGGAUUUAAAUUUUGCCCUGG